rfam:Callithrix jacchus chromosome X, whole genome shotgun sequence
CCAAUGGCCUCACUAGAGGCCACAUACAGAAAGAAUACCCUGGGA